rnacentral:rRNA from 1 species
GUCCACGGCCAUACCUCCCUGAUCGCCCCCAUUCUUGUCUGAUCUUGAAAGCUAAGCAGGGUUGGGCCUGGUUAGUACUUGGAUGGGAGGAGGCAGAGAUCAGGAGGAUCAGGGUU